rnacentral:rRNA from 1 species
AUUUAACUCUGGCGGUAGGCCUAACACAUGCAAGUCGAACGGCAGCACAGUAAGAGCUUGCUCUUACGGGUGGCGAGUGGCGGACGGGUGAGGAAUACAUCGGAAUCUACUUUUUCUUGGGGGAUAACGUAGGGAAACUUACGCUAAUACCGCAUACGACCUACGGGUGAAAGCAGUGGAUCUUCGGACCUUGCGCGAUUGAUUGAGCCGAUGUCGGAUUAGCUAGUUGGCGGGGUAAAGGCCCACCAAGGCGACGAUCCGUAGCUGGUCUGAGAGGAUGAUCAGCCACACUGGAACUGAGACACGGUCCAGACUCCUACGGGAGGCAGCAGUGGGGAAUAUUGGACAAUGGGCGAAAGCCUGAUCCAGCCAUACCGCGUGGGUGAAGAAGGCCUUCGGGUUGUAAAGCCCUUUUGUUGGGAAAGAAAAGCAGCAGGUUAAUACCCCGCUGUUCUGACGGUACCCAAAGAAUAAGCACCGGCUAACUUCGUG